rnacentral:lncRNA from 1 species
AUCAAACCCUUGGAGGGGUUCAAUAUUCUUGAAAUUUUAUCGUAUGAAUGUAAAGGAUCCUUUACAAUUUUUUGUUGUGUAUAGGGGUCAAAGUCAACAUAAUAGAACACAUAAAGUUGCCGCGUGAUAUAUGAAGGGUUAAGCAAACUGAGAAUGCACAUAAACCUACAUCACACCGCCGAGAAAAGGUGAAAGAGAAAAAGAAAGAGUGCACCUGUACAAACACACCCAUCUUAUGUGUAAUGUGUUGCUUUCAUGAUUCGGCUAUUUAUUAACACAUUCAAUAGAAUCUCAAAUAUAAAUUGAACUGUUAUGAAAGAAUCACCAUAAGUUCCGAAGGACCAGAGAGAUUAUAGCAAGGACCAGGCAUACAGUAACAGGUGUAAAAUGUUGCACUUGUAUACACCCCAUGAAGGAGUUGAAGAAGGACAAUAAAUACAACACCACAAAAAAAAAAAAAAAAAAAAAAAAAAAGGGAAAAA